CGGGCUGUAGCUCAGUUGGUAGAGCACAUGGCUGGGGGUCAUGGGGUCGCACGUUCAAGUCGUGUCAGCCCGA
rnacentral:tRNA from 1 species